GUUCAUUCUCUUGUUGCUUUUAAAUGGCUUUUAAAAAGACUUGUUGUGUCGAACCCUCUCCAGUAGGGGUCCUAUUUUGGGGUGUCUCUUGCUCUAGUGUGGCCAAAAAGAAGUCGCAGAGCAUCCCUUUGAGGCACCAAAUAAGCCGCCAAGUGAAAAAGCAGACUGAAGUUGAAGACGGCAUGUGCUUAUUUCCUACUCUUGUCUCCUUCUCCUCCAACCCUUUGGAUGGCAAGGAUAUGCCCUUUAUUGUCAAGGGUCUCUGUGUUACAUUGACACAACAUUCCAA
rnacentral:lncRNA from 11 species